UGUGUCGUCUUACGUGGCAUUAUUGGAUUGCAUUCAGAUAUUUCUAAUACUGUCAGGUAAAGACGUCAGU
rnacentral:pre_miRNA from 1 species